GACGAACGCUGGCGGCGUGCUUAACACAUGCAAGUCGAACGGAAAGGCCCUGCUUUUGUGGGGUGCUCGAGUGGCGAACGGGUGAGUAACACGUGAGUAACCUGCCCUUGACUUUGGGAUAACUUCAGGAAACUGGGGCUAAUACCGGAUAGGAGCUCCUGCUGCAUGGUGGGGGUUGGAAAGUUUCGGCGGUUGGGGAUGGACUCGCGGCUUAUCAGCUUGUUGGUGGGGUAGUGGCUUACCAAGGCUUUGACGGGUAGCCGGCCUGAGAGGGUGACCGGGCACAUUGGGACACAGAUACGGCCCAGACUCGUACGGGAGGCAGCAGUGGAGAAUAUUGCACAAUGGGCCGAAGUCUGAUGCAGCAACGCCGCGUGCGGGAUGACGGCCUUCGGGUUGUAAACCGCUUUCGCAUGUGACGAAGCGUGAGUGACGGUAAUGGGUAAAGAAGCACCGGCUAACUACGUG
rnacentral:rRNA from 1 species